GGUGGAGUUCCUGUGUAGCCUGUCCAACAGUCACGAGUCAUAUGGUGAUGACUCUGCUCAGAAUUAUUUGAUUAGUUCAUCAUUACUCCCCACCAACAACAAGUCUGCUUUCACAAAGUCCAUUCUAAUCACAAGACCUAAACUGCAGAAGAAGACACAGGCUCAAAGAUAAGAUGGCUGGCCAAGACAUGGACGCUCAGUGGGAAGAAUACAAGGCGAAGUUCGAUAAAGUUUACGAACCGGAGGAGGACAAGAUGCGCAGAGAUCUAUGGGAGAAGACACUGCAGAAGAUCGAGACCCACAACAAGGAGGCAGAUGAGGGCAAGCAUACCUGGUGGAUGGGGUCAACCAGUUCACUGACAAGAGGCCAGAAGAAGUGUGUUGUGGGGGACUUCGUCCGUGUCAUCCUCCAAACCAAGGAGAGGACGGUGGUCAUUGAACUGAGAGGAACAGCCGCAAGGUCCCAGCUGUGAAUGAACAAUUGAGAAAUUUAACCACCGUACAUGUAUUCCACUGACUGCAAGAGCUCUGUUACUCAAAACGAUGCCAAAAACAUUCACACAAA
rnacentral:lncRNA from 1 species